ACUUUAGGACUCUCACUCUUUUCCAAGUCCUAGCUUUAAAAAACAAAAAAAAAACCAAAAGCUUUGUGAAUUGUUUGAGAGAAUCAAUUACAGCACCAGACUGGCUGGGUUUGUUCCACGGUUCUGCCAAGCUAGUUGUGUGACUCAACCAGGCAAGUGUUUCCACCACCGGAAGUUCUGUAGCUCCUCACUGCACCUCCCGUUAUUCCUCAGUGGAAAACUAGGAGAUGUUUCCUGCUGAAAACAGCACCAUGCUCUUGGAUGGUACAUCAGUUACCUGGGAAAAUGAACUCCGUGGGAAAGGCCUAGCCAGGAGUGGAAAAGGGUUGGAGGAGCUUGAAGCCAGUAGAGAUUUGAGCCGGGAUUCCCAGGAAACCUGGGAAGGGGUAAGUGAAGAGACCAUAAACUGUGUUGAUCUAUGCACUAAGCAAUCACAAAUAGUGAUGGCUGAGGCAGGGCUAACAAACUAGUAGAGCCUCCAAGACCAAGGAUUUGGCUGUGAAGGCUAGAGAGAGGUCUGCCUCUGUAAAUCUUGGUCAUUUCACGUGUGCUUUGUGGUGGUUUGAAUAUGCUUGGCCCAUAGAA